rnacentral:rRNA from 1 species
AGAGUUUGAUCCUGGCUCAGAUUGAACGCUGGCGGUAUGCUUAACACAUGCAAGUCGAACGGUAACGGACCACGCUCAUCCUUCGGGGUGUUGUGGUGCCGACGAGUGGCGGACGGGUGAGUAAUACUUAGGAAUCUGCCCAGUAGUGGGGGACAACACGGGGAAACUCGUGCUAAUACCGCAUACACCCUAAGGGGAAAAGUGGAGGAUCUUCGGACUUCACGCUAUUGGAUGAGCCUAAGGCGGAUUAGCUUGUUGGUGGGGUAAAGGCCUACCAAGGCGACAAUCCGUAGCUGGUCUGAGAGGACGAUCAGCCACACUGGGACUGAGACACGGCCCAGACUCCUACGGGAGGCAGCAGUGGGGAAUAUUGGACAAUGGGGGCAACCCUGAUCCAGCAAUACCGCGUGUGUGAAGAAGGCCUGCGGGUUGUAAAGCACUUUCAGUAGAGAAGAAAAAACCAGAGGUUAAUACCCUCCGGUCUUGACGUAACCUACAGAAGAAGCACCGGCUAACUCCGUGCCAGCAGCCGCGGUAAUACGGGGGGUGCAAGCGUUAAUCGGAAUUACUGGGCGUAAAGCGCGCGUAGGCGGUCUGGUCAGUCGGAUGUGAAAGCCCUGGGCUUAACCUGGGAAUGGCAUUCGAUACUGCCCGACUAGAAUGUGGGAGAGGCAAGUGGAAUUUCCGGUGUAGCGGUGA